GUGCUAAGGUAGCAUAAUAACUUGCCUCUUAAUUAGAGGAUAGAAUGAAUGUGAAAACAAUAAGUAUACUGUCUCCCGUACUCGACUAAAACUUUAUCUAGGGGUGAAAAAGCCCCCAUUAUUACAAAAGACAAAAAGACCCUAGAAGCUUCAAAAUAUUAAUAAUAUUUUAAUUAACUUUUUUAGCUGGGAGGGCAAAAAGUUAACAACACACUUUUAUAUAAAAGAUCAUAUAUCAAAACAUAUCAACCCCAACAAGAAUAUAAGUAAGCUACUCUAGGGGUAACAGGCUAAUACUCCUUAAGAGUACACAUUGACAGGAGUGAUUGGCACCUCGAUGUUGGCUUAGGAAUAUUAUUUUAUGUAGAAGUAAAAAUAAUUGGUUUGUUCAACCUUUAAUUUCCUACAUGAUCUGAG
rnacentral:rRNA from 1 species